CGAGAAGCUUGCUUCUCUGAUGUUAGCGGCGGACGGGUGAGUAACACGUGGAUAACCUACCUAUAAGACUGGGAUAACUUCGGGAAACCGGAGCUAAUACCGGAUAAUAUUUUGAACCGCAUGGUUCAAAAGUGAAAGACGGUCUUGCUGUCACUUAUAGAUGGAUCCGCGCUGCAUUAGCUAGUUGGUAAGGUAACGGCUUACCAAGGCAACGAUGCAUAGCCGACCUGAGAGGGUGAUCGGCCACACUGGAACUGAGACACGGUCCAGACUCCUACGGGAGGCAGCAGUAGGGAAUCUUCCGCAAUGGGCGAAAGCCUGACGGAGCAACGCCGCGUGAGUGAUGAAGGUCUUCGGAUCGUAAAACUCUGUUAUUAGGGAAGAACAUAUGUGUAAGUAACUGUGCACAUCUUGACGGUACCUAAUCAGAAAGCCACGGCUAACUACGUGCCAGCAGCCGCGGUAAUACGUAGGUGGCAAGCGUUAUCCGGAAUUAUUGGGCGUAAAGCGCGCGUAGGCGGUUUUUUAAGUCUGAUGUGAAAGCCCACGGCUCAACCGUGGAGGGUCAUUGGAAACUGGAAAACUUGAGUGCAGAAGAGGAAAGUGGAAUUCCAUGUGUAGCGGUGAAAUGCGCAGAGAUAUGGAGGAACACCAGUGGCGAAGGCGACUUUCUGGUCUGUAACUGACGCUGAUGUGCGAAAGCGUGGGGAUCAAACAGGAUUAGAUACCCUGGUAGUCCACGCCGUAAACGAUGAGUGCUAAGUGUUAGGGGGUUUCCGCCCCUUAGUGCUGCAGCUAACGCAUUAAGCACUCCGCCUGGGGAGUACGACCGCAAGGUUGAAACUCAAAGGAAUUGACGGGGACCCGCACAAGCGGUGGAGCAUGUGGUUUAAUUCGAAGCAACGCGAAGAACCUUACCAAAUCUUGACAUCCUUUGACAACUCUAGAGAUAGAGCUUUCCCCUUCGGGGGACAAAGUGACAGGUGGUGCAUGGUUGUCGU
rnacentral:rRNA from 1 species